GUGAGCCUAGUGAUAGGAGACUAUCCAGCUCGGUUCGGAGAGCACUUGUUUACUACGAUUCAGGGUGAGCAGAGCGGCAAGAUAUUGAUUCGCU
rfam:Picea glauca, whole genome shotgun sequence.